UCCUGCUGAACUCAAGGCCUGGAGUAGAGUCAGUUGAUACAGAGAAGAUUAGCAUGGCCCCUGUGCAAGGAUGACAUGCAAAUUCAUGAAGAGUUCUAUAUUUUU